AUGAGCUUCAUCAGUCGAUUUUUGGAGGAGCUGGAUAUUGUGGAAGCUCAAAAGGUGCGAUCGUUUCCGGCGACUGCUGCACCGCUAGCGCGUGCAUGGCUACCGCCCGAGGGAGAAGCUGUUGAGAUUAACUGUGAUGGUGCAAUAUCAACCCUAGGCGAGAAGGGAGCGGCGGCUGUGGUAUGUCGAGACAAGUCAGGGAAGUUUCUUGGAGCAUCAGCACUAGUUUUUGAGGGCUUGAUCGAUCCGGCAAGCUUGGAGGCACACGCGUGCAGUGAGGCCCUUGCCCUUGCUCGUGAUUUGAACUUGCAGGAGCUGGUGAUCGCGUCGGACUGUUUAGAAGUGGUCUCCAACAUCAACAAACAAGCAUCACCAGUGUAUGCGUCGAUUCUGCACGACAUACACAUUAGCAUGAACCUUUUUUUACUUCAGUUAUCUUUCGUUUUGAACGUAGAGAAAAUAAUUUCGAGGCCCGCUCGGUUGCAAAAGGAGCUGCGUCUUUGCCGGUGGGCCGCCACUUGUGGCUAG
rnacentral:rRNA from 1 species